GGAACGGCGGCGGGUCUGGGGGAUCCCUGCCCUGCCCUGCGGCCAGCCCGGCACGCACGGCUCGCUGCGGGGUCUGUGGCCGCCAUCCCCGGGCCCGGCACCGCCGCCUGUCUCCUGCAGGAGCGGGCACGGCGGGAUCAGCCGCCGCCCGCGGGAGGUGGUUCCCCGGGGGGUGGCUGGCCCGGCCGGCCUGGCUCCAGCGGCAGGGCCGGGCAGGGCCGCGGGUGACACAGCACGCUGCUCGCCGGGCCCCAGAAGGGCUGUCUCCGCGCGUUGGCCGAGCCCGGCGGCAGCCUCAGGAGCCACCUGCGGUUCUCCAGCUCUGGUUUCCUCCGUGUCUUCACAGGUUUCUGGGUGUUUUCUCUCGGGUCACACCUCUGCAUCUUUCAGGGGCCGUUUUCUUCCGGCAGCUCCUGUGCCCUCCGUUGCUGUGGGGAGCGGGAGAGGCUGCUCCUUCGGGUCCCAUCGCUGAGGGUGCCCACGCCAGCUGCACCUCUGCAGCCUGCAAGGGAUGGUGCCAUCACUUGAGCUUCCACCAUGCAUCAUUUUCUGCCAGUAUUUACCUCUUUAGAGGUUGGUUCUUAGUUUAUCAAGCUACACUCGUGUCUCCUUUGUAACCAAGACUGCAUUCCAGAAUCGGGUGAUUGCUGUGCUGUGCCCAUCUGUAUCCAGCGGUACAAAAGGCUCUAGGUGUGCCUCCCCUUUGCACAGGGGAAAAGGCUGGCUGUAGGUCGUUAAUACACAGCACCCUGCUUUUCUUCUUCUGUGUAUGUGUGCACCCCUGAGAUGCUUGGCUUUCCAUUUGUCUUACGAGGCAGUCCCUUUAUCCAGACCCAGUUUUGCCACGUUUUGAGCAAACCUUGCCCUCCUGAUUGUACCACCCAGCCCAGGUAGAUGUCAUCUGCAAAUUGUAUUAGGAGUGAUUUUGUGUUUACUUCCAGAUGGCUCAGGAAAAUACUGAUUGUGUCCGUGUGUCGUGUAGCAUGAUCCUAGACAGAUCCCACAAGAAGUACCCUUAUUCAGUAAUGCUUUUUAACCAGUUCUAAAAAAAAGAAAUAAAUGUCUGUGGCCAGUAUUUAAUAAAAGCUUAACUGAUGUUUUGUGACCCUCUGAAACAUUGUGCAGUUCUAAGGAAAAACCCAUUUAAAAGUUUAUUACACCUUCCAGAGGAAACGAAAUUGUUUGUUGUCUUCUUGAAGCAUUAAAUGAGAUUUCUAGGAGACCUCUGACUGGCAGUACUAAUUAUUUAAUCUGAGUCACAUACCAGCUUUUUUUUUGGUAUUUAGCCAGGAACUCUUGGAUAGACAUUUAUUACAUAUCAUGCAAGUAUCCUUUUGGAAGACAGAUACCAACCUGGCACAUUUUCAGCUUUCUAGUAUCUCCCCAGUGUACCAAGGUUUACCAAAGAUGAACACCAACAGUUGAGGGGUCCCCCAGGAAGCUGGUUUGAAGCUACUGGGCCACAGUUAUCCCUAGAAGACAAGAGCUUCACUGGUUACUAAUGGACUGAAAUUUAUCACAUCACUGUUAAGUAAUCCACCCACCUAUCUUCCUGCUUCUUUACAAACAUAGAUCAUAAAUGUUCAAUGAACA